rnacentral:rRNA from 1 species
AGAGUUUGAUCAUGGCUCAGAACGAACGCUGGCGGCGUGGAUAAGACAUGCAAGUCGAACGGGACUUUUCUUUGUAGCAAUACGAGGGAAAGUUCAGUGGCGAUCGGGUGCGUAACACGUGGGCAAUCUGCCUUAAAGUGUGGGAUAGCUCGGCGAAAGCCGAAUUAAUACCGCAUGUGGCUACUGGAGACAUCUUCGGGACGCUAAAGGUGGCGCAAGCUACCGCUUUUUGAGGAGCCCGCGGCCUAUCAGCUUGUUGGUGAGGUAACGGCUCACCAAGGCGUUGACGGGUAGCUGGUCUGAGAGGACGACCAGCCACACUGGGACUGAGACACGGCCCAGACACCUACGGGUGGCAGCAGUCGAGAAUUUUUGACAAUGGGGGAAACCCUGAUCGAGCGACGCCGCGUGGAGGAUGAAGGUCUUCGGGUUGUAAACUCCUGUCAUUUGGGAACAAGGCGCGUGUAUUAACUGUGCACGCGUUGAUAGUACCAGAAGAGGAAGAGACGGCUAACUCUGUGCCAGCAGCCGCGGUAAUACAGAGGUCUCAAGCGUUGUUCGGAUUCAUUGGGCGUAAAGGGUGUGUAGGUGGCGCGCUAAGUCGGGUGUGAAAUUUCGGAGCUUAACUCCGAAACUGCAUUCGAUACUGGCGUGCUUGAGGACUGGAGAGGAGACUGGAAUUUACGGUGUAGCAGUGAAAUGCGUAGAUAUCGUAAGGAAGACCAGUGGCGAAGGCGGGUCUCUGGACAGUUCCUGACACUGAGACACGAAGGCCAGGGGAGCAAACGGGAUUAGAUACCCUGGUAGUCC